GACGAACGCUGGCGGCGUGCUUAACACAUGCAAGUCGAACGCUGAAGCUUGGUGCUUGCACUGGGUGGAUGAGUGGCGAACGGGUGAGUAAUACGUGAGUAACCUGCCCUUGACUCUGGGAUAAGCCUGGGAAACUGGGUCUAAUACUGGAUACGACAUGUCACCGCAUGGUGGUGUGUGGAAAGGGUUUUACUGGUUUUGGAUGGGCUCACGGCCUAUCAGCUUGUUGGUGGGGUAAUGGCUCACCAAGGCGACGACGGGUAGCCGGCCUGAGAGGGUGACCGGCCACACUGGGACUGAGACACGGCCCAGACUCCUACGGGAGGCAGCAGUGGGGAAUAUUGCACAAUGGGCGGAAGCCUGAUGCAGCGACGCCGCGUGAGGGAUGACGGCCUUCGGGUUGUAAACCUCUUUCGGCACGGAAGAAGCGAAAGUGACGGUACGUGCAGAAGAAGCGCCGGCUAACUACGUG
rnacentral:rRNA from 1 species